rnacentral:rRNA from 1 species
UACGGGGGGGGGCAAGCGUUGUUCGGAAUUACUGGGCGUAAAGCGCACGUAGGUGGCGACGUAAGUCGGGUGUGAAAGCCCCGGGCUCAACCUGGGAAUUGCAUUCGAGACUGCAUUGCUGGAGUACGGAAGAGGAAGGCGGAAUUCCCGGUGUAGCGGUGAAAUGCGUAGAUAUCGGGAGGAACAUCAGUGGCGAAGGCGGCCUUCUGGUCCAGUACUGACACUCAAGUGCGAAAGCGUGGGGAGCAAACAGG